rnacentral:misc_RNA from 1 species
UCUCCGUAGGUGAACCUGCGGAGGGAUCAUUACUGAGUGAGGGUCUCCGGGCCCGACCUCCAACCCUUUUGUGAACCACCUCGUUGCUUCGGGGGCGACCCUGCCGUCCGCGGCUGAGCGCCCCCGGGGUCAAUCAAACACUGCAUUCUCUGCGUCGGAGUUAAAGUAAAUUAAACAAAACUUUCAACAACGGAUCUCUUGGUUCCAGCAUCGAUGAAGAACGCAGC